ACGGUCUCAUGAUACGCAUUUUGAGCUCUUUUACGGUGAUUGACGAGUUAUGAUUCGUAAUUUCGUGUAACUUCGCCGCUGAUUUUUUCUAAUCGUCGGAUCAAAGAAAUCAUUUAAAGGUUUUUUAUAUGCGAACAGGGUAGAGUAGUAAAUUAGCCGGUCAAUCCAGUCGCUAGUCAAUCCCUCGCACAGCCUUCGUCGUUGUCAGUUUAUUAUCCUCCUCAAUCCCCUCGCACAGCCGCCGCCGCCGACCCGACCCUCGACCGUGGCGACGACGGCGUCCCUCCUCUCGGUCGUGCCGCCGCUGCCCCAGAUCGUCACACAGCCGCAGCCGCCUAUACUUUUUCUCGCCCCUCCCCUAAUCCAGUUUCCGUCCAAAGUCGCCGCCGCAAACAAGGGAUCCCACCGGACCUCGCCGCCGCCGCCGCAAUCAAGUGAUCCCGCCGGACCUCGCCGCCGCCGCCAUCAAGGGAGCCCGCCGAACCUCGCCGCCGCCGCAAUCAAGGGAUCCCGCUGGAUUGCCGCCAGGUUUCUGGCCUGCCGCCAGGAGCCGCAGGAACUGCAUGCCAUCAGGCGCGGCAUGCCGAGCCCACCGAAGCCUCCUCUGCCCCACCGCCCCCUGCAGCGCAUCCCUCCGUCGAGCAUCCGGUCAUGCCGAGCAACGCCGCGGACCAGUCCGUAGGCAGGAUCUAUCUGGCCGACCUCAUUUGAGCUGCGGCUUAAGUAUUCCUACUGCACGGGUUUGCACAUAUGAUACAUAGUUGGUUGAGCACAUCUUCUAGACUCUUGUGAAUGCACCUGGGACAACGGUUCACAUCAGUCUGGUAUAUACUGCUUCCGUUUCGAGUGAAAUCCUCUCCCAUAGCCCCUGCCCCAGAUGAAAUGAGCUAUAUAUGUGUAUGAUGAUCCUCCUUUCCUAAAAGUUCCAGGAAGGAAAUUUGUGCGCCGCUAUCCGGAACCUCCUCUGCUUUCUCUGAAACAGGGUUGCCAUGUGAAGAAAAAGGAUAUGUGGGAGCUUUUGAAUGGACAAAGGCUUCAGCAAGGAAGAGAAGACGGCUGCAUUUCCUUACUUGCAAUUCUAGUAACUAUCUUUGUUAUAACUUGUAGAGUGUACCUGCAAAAAAAACUUGUAGAGUGUGAUGGAUUAAUUAGGAUGCUAUGUAAUCAGAGUACGUACCCUAUCAUAUGUAUCAUGACUGAUUGUGAUCAGGGUCUGCAUUCUAUGAAGAAGGCACCCAUUUAUAUGUUUA